CCUACGGGUGGCAGCAGUGGGGAAUAUUGGACAAUGGGGGAAACCCUGAUCCAGCGACGCCGCGUGAGUGAAGAAGGACUUCGGUACGUAAAGCCCUAUCUGUAGGAAAGUAAAUGACUGUACCUGACUAUGAAGCCCCGGCUAACUACGUGCCAGACGCCGAGGUAAUACGUAGGGGGCAAGCGUUAUCCGGAUUUACUGGGCGUAAAGGGAGCGUAGACGGCAGAACAAGUCUGGAGUGAAAUCCUGGGGCUUAACCCCGGGAUUGCGGUGGAAACUGUGCGGCUGGAGUGCAGGCGGGGUAAGCGGAAUUCGUGGUGUAGCGGUGAAAUGCGUAGAUAUUAGGAGGAACACCGGUGGCGAAGGCGGCUUGCUGGACUGUAACUGACGUUGAGGCUCGAAAGCGUGGGGAGCAAACAGGAUUAGAUACCCUAGUAGUC
rnacentral:rRNA from 1 species